ACUCCUACGGGAGGCAGCAGUGGGGAAUAUUGCACAAUGGGCGCAAGCCUGAUGCAGCCAUGCCGCGUGUGUGAAGAAGGCCUUCGGGUUGUAAGCACUUUCAGUCGUGAGGAAGGUGGUAGUGUUAAUAGCACUAUCAUUUUGACGUUUAGCGACAGAAGAAGCACCGGCUAACUCCGUGCCAGCAGCCGCGGUAAUACGGAGGGUGCGAGCGUUAAUCGGAUUACUGGGCGUAAAGCGCAUGCAGGUGGUUUGUUAAGUCAGAUGUGAAAGCCCGGGGCUCAACCUCGGAAUAGCAUUUGAAACUGGCAGACUAGAGUACUGUAGAGGGGGUA
rnacentral:rRNA from 1 species